rnacentral:rRNA from 1 species
UACGGGAGGGGCAAGCGUUGUUCGGAAUUACUGGGCGUAAAGGGCUCGUAGGCGGCCAACUAAGUCGGACGUGAAAUCCCUCGGCUCAACCGGGGAACUGCGUCCGAUACUGGAUGGCUUGAGUUCGGGAGAGGGAUGCGGAAUUCCAGGUGUAGCGGUGAAAUGCGUAGAUAUCUGGAGGAACACCGGUGGCGAAGGCGGCAUCCUGGACCGAUACUGACGCUGAGGAGCGAAAGCCAGGGGAGCAAACGGG